CUACGGGAGGCUGCAGUGGGGAAUAUUGGACAAUGGGGGAAACCCUGAUCCAGCAAUGCCGCGUGUGUGAAGAAGGCCUGCGGGUUGUAAAGCACUUUCGGAUGGGAGGACUGCUUCUAGCACUAAUAUUGUUGGAAGUUGACGUUACCUUCAGAAGAAGCACCGGCUAACUCCGUGCCAGCAGCCGCGGUAAUACGGAGGGUGGCAAGCGUUAAUCGGAAUUACUGGGCGUAAAGCGCGCGUAGGCGGCUAGAUCAGUCGGGUGUGAAAGCCCCGGGCUUAACCUGGGAACUGCAUCCGAUACUGUCUAGCUUGAGUACAGGAGAGGAGAGUGGAAUUCCACAUGUAGCGGUGAAAUGCGUAGAUAUGUGGAGGAACACCAAUGGCGAAGGCAGCUCUCUGGCCUGAUACUGACGCUGAGGUGCGAAAGCGUGGGGAGCAAACAGGAUUAGAUACCCCUGUAGUC
rnacentral:rRNA from 1 species